rnacentral:rRNA from 1 species
AACGAACGCUGGCGGCAUGCCUAACACAUGCAAGUCGAACGAGACCUUCGGGUCUAGUGGCGCACGGGUGCGUAACGCGUGGGAAUCUGCCCUUGGGUUCGGAAUAACAGUUAGAAAUGACUGCUAAUACCGGAUAAUGUCUUCGGACCAAAGAUUUAUCGCCCAGGGAUGAGCCCCGCGUAGGAUUAGCUAGUUGGUGAGGUAAAGGCUCACCAAGGCGACGAUCCUUAGCUGGUCUGAGAGGAUGAUCAGCCACACUGGGACUGAGACACGGCCCAGACUCCUACGGGAGGCAGCAGUGGGGAAUAUUGGACAAUGGGCGAAAGCCUGAUCCAGCAAUGCCGCGUGAGUGAUGAAGGCCUUAGGUGUAAAGCUCUUUUACCCGGGUAUGAUAAUGACAGUACCGGGAGAAUAAG